GUGCUCGCUUUGGCAGCACACGCAGUAAAACUGGGGUGACAGACGAUUAGCAUGGCCCUUGCGUGAGGGUGACACGCAAUUUCGCCAAGCGGUCUAUAUUUUU